ACGGGUGAGUAAUGUCUGGGAAACUGCCUGAUGGAGGGGGAUAACUACUGGAAACGGUAGCUAAUACCGCAUAACGUCGCAAGACCAAAGAGGGGGACCUUCGGGCCUCUUGCCAUCAGAUGUGCCCAGAUGGGAUUAGCUAGUAGGUGGGGUAACGGCUCACCUAGGCGACGAUCCCUAGCUGGUCUGAGAGGAUGACCAGCCACACUGGAACUGAGACACGGUCCAGACUCCUACGGGAGGCAGCAGUGGGGAAUAUUGCACAAUGGGCGCAAGCCUGAUGCAGCCAUGCCGCGUGUAUGAAGAAGGCCUUCGGGUUGUAAAGUACUUUCAGCGGGGAGGAAGGCGAUAAGGCUAAUAACCUUGUCGAUUGACGUUACCCGCAGAAGAAGCACCGGCUAACUCCGUGCCAGCAGCCGCGGUAAUACGGAGGGUGCAAGCGUCAAUCGGAAUUACUGGGCGUAAAGCGUACGCAGGCGGUCUGUCAAGUCGGAUGUGAAAUCCCCGGGCUCAACCUGGGAACUGCAUUCGAAACUGGCAGGCUAGAGUCUUGUAGAGGGGGGUAGAAUUCCAGGUGUAGCG
rnacentral:rRNA from 1 species